CAAGUCGACUGCAUUUAGUUGCAGGGCGGACGAGUGAGUAACACGUUGAUUACCUGCCUUAAAGUGAGGGAUAACCCAGAGAAAUUUGGGAUAAUACCGCAUGUGCUCGCAAGAGUAAAGCUUUAUGCGCUUUAAGAGGGGUCUGCGGAGUAUCAGUUUGUUGGUGGGGUAAUGGCCUACCAAGACUAUGACGCUUAGCUGGUCUGAGAGGAUGAUCAGUCACGAUGGAACUGAGACACGGUCCAUACUCC
rnacentral:rRNA from 1 species